GUCCAGACUCCUACGGGAGGCAGCAGUGAGGAAUAUUGGUCAAUGGGCGCGAGCCUGAACCAGCCAAGUCGCGUGAGGGAAGACGGUCCUAUGGAUUGUAAACCUCUUUUGUCGGGGAGCAAAAGACGCCACGUGUGGCGUUCCGAGAGUACCCGAAGAAAAAGCAUCGGCUAACUCCGUGCCAGCAGCCGCGGUAAUACGUAGGGAGCAAGCGUUAUCCGGAUUUACUGGGUGUAAAGGGCGUGUAGGCGGGCUUGUAAGUCAGAAGUGAAAUCUGGGGGCUUAACCCCCAAACUGCUUUUGAAACUGCGGGUCUUGAGUGAUGGAGAGGCAGGCGGAAUUCCCAGUGUAGCGGUGAAAUGCGUAGAUAUUAGGAGGAACACCAGUGGCGAAGGCGGCCUGCUGGACGGUGACUGACGCUGAGGCUCGAAAGCGUGGGGAGCAAACAGGAUUAGAUACCCUCGUAC
rnacentral:rRNA from 1 species